rnacentral:rRNA from 1 species
AUUGAACGCUGGCGGCAUGCCUUACACAUGCAAGUCGAACGGCAGCAUGAUCUAGCUUGCUAGAUUGAUGGCGAGUGGCGAACGGGUGAGUAAUACAUCGGAACGUGCCCUGUAGUGGGGGAUAACUAGUCGAAAGAUUAGCUAAUACCGCAUACGACCUGAGGGUGAAAGUGGGGGACCGCAAGGCCUCAUGCUAUAGGAGCGGCCGAUCUCUGAUUAGCUAGUUGGUGAGGUAAAGGCUCACCAAGGCGACGAUCAGUAGCUGGUCUGAGAGGACGAUCAGCCACACUGGGACUGAGACACGGCCCAGACUCCUACGGGAGGCAGCAGUGGGGAAUUUUGGACAAUGGGCGAAAGCCUGAUCCAGCAAUGCCGCGUGUGUGAAGAAGGCCUUCGGGUUGUAAAGCACUUUUGUCCGGAAAGAAAUGGCUCUGGUUAAUACCUGGGGUCGAUGACGGUACCGGAAGAAUAAGGACCGGCUAACUACGU